rnacentral:rRNA from 1 species
GACGGCGGGUGCUAGCGUUGUUCGGAAUGACUGGGCGUAAAGGGCGCGUAGGCGGCUCGUGAAGUCGGGUGUGAAAGCCCGGGGCUCAACCCCGGAACGGCAUCCGAUACUGGCGGGCUUGAGACCGGGAGAGGAGGGUGGAAUACCCAGUGUAGAGGUGAAAUUCGUAGAUAUUGGGUGGAACACCGGUGGCGAAAGCGGCUCUCUGGCCCGGAUCUGACGCUGAGGCGCGAAAGCGUGGGGAGCAAACAGG